AGUGGCGAACGGGUGAGUAACACGUGGGCAACCUGCCCAAAANAGGGGGAUAACACUUGGAAACAGGUGCUAAUACCGCAUAACCAUAGUUACCGCAUGGUAACUAUGUAAAAGGUGGCUAUGCUACCGCUUUUGGAUGGGCCCGCGGCGCAUUAGCUAGUUGGUGGGGUAAAGGCUUACCAAGGCAAUGAUGCGUAGCCGAACUGAGAGGUUGAUCGGCCACAUUGGGACUGAGACACGGCCCAAACUCCUACGGGAGGCAGCAG
rnacentral:rRNA from 1 species